rnacentral:rRNA from 1 species
GUGCUAUACAUGCAGUCGAGCGGACAGACGGGAGCUUGCUCCCUGAUGUUAGCGGCGGACGGGUGAGUAACACGUGGGUAACCUGCCUGUAAGACUGGGAUAACUCCGGGAAACCGGGGCUAAUACCGGAUGCUUGUUUGAACCGCAUGGUUCAAACAUAAAAGGUGGCUUCGGCUACCACUUACAGAUGGACCCGCGGCGCAUUAGCUAGUUGGUGAGGUAACGGCUCACCAAGGCAACGAUGCGUAGCCGACCUGAGAGGGUGAUCGGCCACACUGGGACUGAGACACGGCCCAGACUCCUACGGGAGGCAGCAGUAGGGAAUCUUCCGCAAUGGACGAAAGUCUGACGGAGCAACGCCGCGUGAGUGAUGAAGGUUUUCGGAUCGUAAAGCUCUGUUGUUAGGGAAGAACAAGUACCGUUCGAAUAGGGCGGUACCUUGACGGUACCUAACCAGAAAGCCACGGCUAACUACGUGCCAGCAGCCGCGGUAAUACGUAGGUGGCAAGCGUUGUCCGGAAUUAUUGGGCGUAAAGGGCUCGCAGGCGGUUUCUUAAGUCUGAUGUGAAAGCCCCCGGCUCAACCGGGGAGGGUCAUUGGAAACUGGGGAACUUGAGUGCAGAAGAGGAGAGUGGAAUUCCACGUGUAGCGGUGAAAUGCGUAGAGAUGUGGAGGAACACCAGUGGCGAAGGCGACUCUCUGGUCUGUAACUGACGCUGAGGAGCGAAAGCGU